rnacentral:snoRNA from 1 species
UGGGUGAUUAUGUACUUUUAUAAAAGGGUGUCUCUUGAAAUCUCAAGAAAAUUUCUCUAGAUAGUCAAGUUCUGAUCCAG